ensembl:lncRNA
CUUCCCCAAACCCCCUGCAAGGGCCUCAUCACCCCAUCUCACAGGGGCGGGAAGUGACCCUCAAGGAGGGCAGUGACUGUCCCGCUGGCUCUAGGGAAGAGCAGCACCAGGAUUUGAAAGCAAGCCCUGGAACCUGUCCCCUUUCCCUUGAGGGCAAAGGUCACUCCAGGACAGAUUUUAACUGGACAAAGGGAUCAUCUGAAAGGUGAAGGGACUUGCCUCAGGUCACUGAGCCUGUCUGGGACAGGGACUGGCAGCCUCAUCCUCCUACCUGCUCUGACUGGCUUCAGACCCCGAAGAACUAAGGCUCCCAACCUCAGAAUGUGGCAGCCUUGCUUCCUCGGGGCCAGCUGAAGCCCCCGGAUUGUACCUUGGAGCCCUAGGGCUCCAGCUGCUAAGACGGCAGCGGGAAGACAGCCUGACCCGAGAGCCAGCCUUCUUAUCUGCGCCAGAGACCUCACGGUGUCCUGCCACGACCCGUACCCCCAUGGCCUCCAUCCGGGACUGCUGCACAGCUCUGUUCUGAGUCCCCGCCCUGCGAAGGAGGUGUGGAGGUUGUGGCUUUCUUCCACCCACCCCGCCCUAACUGGAGGUACAGAGGGAGAAGGAGGAGGAAGCAAGAGAAGGGAGAGCGUGAAGAGCACUCAAUUGGGAUGGUCCCUGGGAAAACCCUGCAGGAGCCCUGUCUUAGGCCAAAGGCCUGGCAACUAGAGGACGGAUUUGUGAAAGUCAGCUCCAUCCAGACCUACCUUGUGACCUUGACCUUGGACAAGUCACUUCAUCUCUCCAAGACUCAAGCUCCUCGCCUGUAUACAAAUGGGGAUCUGUGGAACCCAUCUCACAGGAUUAUGGAGAAAAUGAAAUGGGAUAACCUACAUAAGUACUGUAACUAUGGCCAGGGCUCAGUAAAACCCAGCACGAUAGCUGUUCUGGGCAGCAAUAUGGGUUCCUACAGUUGGUUGGCUGGUGGAAGGCACCUCUGAGGAUGUGUGGGUUUGUUAAAGGAUGUAGUUGGAAAGGUCGCUUAGGGUCAAUGAAUGUUUGUUGAAUGAAGGAAUUCAUUCAACUUUCAACAAACAUUCCGUGAGGUCCCCCCUGCGCCAAGCCCGGGGACACCACUGUGAGGAAGUGAGGGACCACCCCCAGUCCUCAGGCCCAGAGUAGG